AAGAAAUAAUAAAUUAAAAUUUCUAACUUUAAAAAAGAGCAUUAGUUCUUAUUUCUUAUUUUA
rnacentral:tRNA from 1 species